CUGUCACGGCUUCAUCUCAUGUCGUGAUGUUGUCUGUCGGACCACUCGUGGACGCCCCCGCAACGGAGCACAAGGCACGAGCGUCUCGAAGAAGGAAUGUGGGGUGGAAAAAUCCGGGUGGGAAGGUCUCUGGGACCACAGCCCCAGCCCAGCCGCCGUCUCCCCACGGAGGCUGCAGAGUGCCGCUACCGCCACCACCGCCGCGGCUGCAGUAGAUCAGCUGACACCAGCCUCAACUGCCGUGACUUUCGCUGCAACUGUCGCAAAAAAUGAGGGGGAGGGAAAUGCUCGCUGUUUCCAUUCACGCCUUGGUCUAGGCUGACACCAUGGAGACGGAGCCGCGGUGAAAGGGGUCAAACUGUGGGCAAGAAGCGCACGGCUGCCAUUUUGGUUAUGGGAAGGCUGGUCUAAGCUCUCUUCUCGCCUCGAAUGCUCAUGCUGGGAGGACCAAGAUGGAGGGAAGCAUGAAAUGGCAAGUGAUGAGAGGACCACCAGAGCCCUGGAAGAGUUGCUCCCCCAACCUGUGUGAAAGAGGAGGACCCAUGUGCUACAAACAGUGGACUGUGGAGUGCACAAAGAUGUGAAGACUGGAAUAUUUACAGAUGAAACUGUACAAUGCCCGGCAUUUGCUCCGCUAUCAUCCUGGAUGAGGGGGGCAGUGGCUAUGAGUCCUUUGCUUCCCUUUUCAUGAAAUAGUGCUGUACUUUCUUUCACAUGUCUUACAUGUAACUCUCCGAGGUGGAAAGCGUCAUUUAUUCAACAUCUUGCGUUGGGUUGGGUACUAUGCUGAGCUGGGCACACAGGUAAUGCAGAGAGCUGGUUCUGUGGUCAAGUAGCUCACAGUCUGGUGGGAGACACAUCCAUGUACCGCGAGAGCGACACAGCGGGAGAAGUGACGCGCAGUGGUGCUUCCUACCACUCGCCCUGGGUCUGACUCUCCU